GACGAACGCUGGCGGCGUGCUUAACACAUGCAAGUCGAACGGUAAGGCCCUUCGGGGUACACGAGUGGCGGACGGGUGAGUAACACGUGGGUGAUCUGCCCUGCACUUCGGGAUAAGCCUGGGAAACUGGGUCUAAUACCGGAUAGGACUCCGGACUGCAUGGUCUGGGGUGGAAAGCCUUUGCGGUGUGGGAUGGGCCCGCGGCCUAUCAGCUUGUUGGUGGGGUGAUGGCCUACCAAGGCGACGACGGGUAGCCGGCCUGGGAGGGUGACCGGCCACACUGGGACUGAGAUACGGCCCAGACUCCUACGGGAGGCAGCAGUGGGGAAUAUUGCACAAUGGGCGCAAGCCUGAUGCAGCGACGCCGCGUGAGGGAUGACGGCCUUCGGGUUGUAAACCUCUUUCAGCACCGACGAAGCGCAAGUGACGGUAGGUGCAGAAGAAGGACCGGCCAACUACGUGCCAGCCGCCGCAGUAA
rnacentral:rRNA from 1 species